UGGAAUAAAUGGUUAAGAAUUUAAGGGGUCAUAACCUUUAGAACUUGUUGGCCGACGGAUCAUCUUUUGAUAGGAUAAAGAGAUUGAGGAAAGGGAGAUCGGGGCCAGACUGUGAAAAAGGGAGAUCGGGGCCAGACUGUGAGAGUUGUAAGCCGAGGGCCAGACUGUGAGAGUCGUAAGUUGAGAGCCAGAUUGUAAGAGUCGUAAGCCGAGAUAUUGAAUUCUGUGUGAUGAAUUGAGAAACUGAAUAUAAUAGGUAAACUGGAGAUCAGUAAUUGAAUAUAUUUAAACCACAAAGAGAAUAAGUAGGAGAUGAAUAAAUAAGAAUAUAGAAGUGUUGUUGAAUUGAUAGUCGUAGAAUGGAUUAUGGGUUGAAUUAAAAUGAAAGUAGUAAGCCUUGGUGUUUUGUAGUUUGAUAAUUGAUUUCAGAUAGCCA
rnacentral:lncRNA from 1 species